rnacentral:rRNA from 1 species
UACGAAGGGUGCUAGCGUUGUUCGGAAUAACUGGGCGUAAAGGGCGCGUAGGCGGAUAUGUGCGUGAGAUGUGAAAUCCCUGGGCUUAACCUAGGAACGGCAUUUCAUACGACAUAUCUAGAGUGUGAGAGGGGAAAGUGGAAUGGCCAGUGGAGCAGUGAAAUGCAUUGAGAUUGGCUGGAACACCGGAGGCGAAGGCGACUUUCUGGUUCACAACUGACGCUGAGGCGCGAAAGCGUGGGGAGCAAAC